UCCCCCUCUCUGCGUGUCUCCCCCAUGGAGCAAAUAUAUCAUGAGAAUAACUGCCUUCCUUUGUCUGGAUUCAUCAGCUGUCAUCCCUGAACUGCUGACUCCUGGCCACCAAAGGAUUAUGAAGCUUUUAUUCUCAAAGGAGAAACACUGGCUAAGGAGACUGAAAACUCUUCCAAGAGAUCCUUUUCUCAUUAAUGGACUGACCUGGUAGACAACUGAGAGUGAUCUUUUACUCCAUUUCCAAGCAUAGAUGGUGAAUCUCAGGUGAUUUGCUGACUUUGAAAUUCAUGACUGGAAUGGGCUGAUGUCUGAUCUUGUCAAAGCUGCUGAAUGAAGUCUUGAACCAGGUGAUGCCUUGGAUUCAGUGUUGUUCUUGAUUGGUAAAGUUAAUAUGGACAGAAGCAUCAUAUCAGAAUGGAAUGAUAGCUGGAUAAAUAGCCUAGCUAAGUAUUGAUGAGAUUAAAGUUCUAGAAAGGAGAUGGUAGGAGUACCUGAAAAUGUCUGCUUUGUGAGGUCUGCUUCUGGCAGAAGGAAAAGAGAAAGAUUCAACAGAUUUUGUCAUGCAAGAUAACAUGCUUGGAUGUUCAUGUUCAAUGAAUCACGUUUCAGGAAUGAUUCACUGUCCUAGUUCAAAUCUCUGAAGCUUUGAAGUGUUACUAUGCCAUUACUCUCAUUCCUGCUAGUAAACAUUUCCACUGAAGUCCAUGAGUCUUGAUAUGACCAGAUAGGACACCAGCAUUAGCUUUCACAGACUUAUCAAGACAUCUAUUUCCAUGUUCAAAACCCAGCAAA
rnacentral:lncRNA from 1 species